rnacentral:lncRNA from 1 species
GUUAUGUGAGCAUAAUAAAGAAUUCAAAUACGAUAAAAUACACAUGCAUCUAAAAACUUGCAAACCUCUGUUAAAGAACUACAAUCCUCUUUUAUUCUUUCAAUUGCAUCAAUCUUAGUCGGAUCUGGUUUUCUUCUAUAAAAUCCAUACAAAUGUCCAACAAUCACAACAUCUUAUACUCCAAAUGUAGAUUUUGUACCUGAUAAUGUAAGAUGAACUUUUCCAAGCCGAGUUAAUAUUUUU